rnacentral:rRNA from 1 species
AUUGAACGCUGGCGGCAGGCCUAACACAUGCAAGUCGAACGAGUGGCGGACGGGUGAGCAAUGUCUGGGAAACUGCCCGAUGGAGGGGGCUAACUACUGGAAACGGUAGCUAAUACCGCAUACCAUUGGAUGUGCCCAGAUGGGAUUAGCUAGUAGGUGGGGUAACGGCUCACCUAGGCGACGAUCCCCAGCUGGUCUGAGAGGAUGACCGGCCACACUGGAACUGAGACACGGUCCAGACUCCUACGGGAGGCAGCAGUGGGGAAUAUUGCACAAUGGGAGAAAGCCGGAUGCAGCAAUGCCGCGUGUAUGAAGAAGGCCGUCGGGUUGUAAAGUACUUUCGGCGAGGAGGCGUUACUCACAGAGGAAGCAACGGCUAACUCCGUGCCAGCAGCCGCGGUAAUAC